UGGCUGUGAGGACAAAAAAAUGUUACCUGAACUACUUUGAUUAGUUUAUACGCUAUUCUGAGCCAACG